rnacentral:rRNA from 1 species
AUCAGCCUUUCGGGUGCGAUUCUGUGGGGUUUGAGGAGCUUAACACCUUCAUGCUUUGCAUAUUCGUGCUCUUGGGUGUACUUGCCCGUGUGGUUGGUUAACAUCAAUUUUGGUGGUCAUAAAAUGACUGGAGGAAUGUAGCUUCGAUCUUGUAUUGAAGUGUUAUAGCCUUCGGUAGAUGUGAUGAUCGAGAUUGAGGAUUGCAACGGAUACCCUUCGGGGCUAUCUGUCUGAUCUCUGAUCGUUGCUCUGGUGCCGAAAGCUUGCUUACGGUUAUCAAAGUCGAUGGUCAAUAGGUUAGAACGGGUUAAAUUCGUUAAGGAUGUUGACGUAAUGGCUUU